GACGAACGCUGGCGGCGUGCUUAACACAUGCAAGUCGAACGGAAAGGCCCUGCUUUUGUGGGGUGCUCGAGUGGCGAACGGGUGAGUAACACGUGAGUAACCUGCCCUUGACUUUGGGAUAACUUCAGGAAACUGGGGCUAAUACCGGAUAGGAGCUCCUGCUGCAUGGUGGGGGUUGGAAAGUUUCGGCGGUUGGGGAUGGACUCGCGGCCUAUCAGCUUGUUGGUGGGGUAGUGGCUUACCAAGGCUUUGACGGGUAGCCGGCCUGAGAGGGUGACCGGCCACAUUGGGACUGAGAUACGGCCCAGACUCCUACGGGAGGCAGCAGAGGGGAAUAUUGCACAAUGGGCGGAAGCCUGAUGCAGCAACGCCGCGUGCGGGAUGACGGCCUUCGGGUUGUAAACCGCUUUCGCCUGUGACGAAGCGUGAGUGACGGUAAUGGGUAAAGAAGCACCGGCUAACUACGUG
rnacentral:rRNA from 1 species